UCGGAGGCCCAUCGGGAGCCACUUAUCAGCAAGGAAAUUUACCGGAUUCUGCUUGCUCUGAUCGCAUUGAUCGCGCUUUUCCUCAUUCUCGUUGUGACAUCCAGA
rnacentral:sRNA from 1 species